GAUGAACGCUGGCGGCGUGCCUAAUACAUGCAAGUCGAGCGAACGGACGAGAAGCUUGCUUCUCUGAUGAUAGCGGCGGACGGGUGAGUAACACGUGGAUAACCUACCUAUAAGACUGGGAUAACUUCGGGAAACCGGAGCUAAUACCGGAUAAUAUUUUGAACCGCAUGGUUCAAAAGUGAAAGACGGUCUUGCUGUCACUUAUAGAUGGAUCCGCGCUGCAUUAGCUAGUUGGUAAGGUAACGGCUUACCAAGGCAACGAUGCAUAGCCGACCUGAGAGGGUGAUCGGCCACACUGGAACUGAGACACGGUCCAGACUCCUACGGGAGGCAGCAGUAGGGAAUCUUCCGCAAUGGGCGAAAGCCUGACGGAGCAACGCCGCGUGAGUGAUGAAGGUCUUCGGAUCGUAAAACUCUGUUAUUAGGGAAGAACAUAUGUGUAAGUAACUGUGCACAUCUCGACGGUACCUAAUCAGAAAGCCACGGCUAACUACGUG
rnacentral:rRNA from 1 species